UAUUAUUAUUAUUUUUUUUUAUAAUUAGUAUAAUUUAUUAUUAAAAAUUUAAAUAAUUUGGUAGUAUUUUAAAAAAUUAGAGGAUUUUGUUGAGUGAUAGAUAGUACACUAUAUAAUAUACUUAAAUUAUAUUAAAUUAUAUAUUAUUGUCAACAAAAGAUUUUUUUAAAAAUAUUUUUAAAAAAUAUUAAUUUAUAUUAUGUCAAAUCAACAUUUAUUUUAUAUUUAAGGUUUUUAUGAAAUACAAUAAUUUAAAUUUUAAAUAGGUAUUUGUAAAAAUUUUUUGAAAUUGGAUUUAAAAUUAAAAUUUAAUAAAUAUUAAUUUUAAAUCAAAUUUAAAAUAUAUACAUAUUGCCCGUCGCUUUUAAUUUAUAUUAAGAUAA
rnacentral:rRNA from 1 species